rnacentral:rRNA from 1 species
GAUGAACGCUAGCGGCAGGCUUAAUACAUGCAAGUCGAGGGGCAGCACAGAUAGUAAUAUUGGGUGGCGACCGGCAAACGGGUGCGGCACACGUACACAACCUUCCUUUUAGUGUGGGAUAGCCCAGAGAAAUUUGGAUUAAUACCACAUAGUAUAUUGGAGUGGCAUCACUUUGAUAUUAAAGAUUUAUCGCUAAAAGAUGGGGGUGCGUAUGAUUAGGUAGUUGGUAGAGGUAACGGCUCACCAAGCCUUCGAUCAAUAACUGGUGUGAGAGCACGACCAGUCACACGGGCACUGAGACACGGGCCCGACACCUACGAGAGGCAGCAGUAAGGAAUAUUGGUCAAUGGACGGAAGUCUGAACCAGCCAUGCCGCGUGAAGGAUGACGGCCCUCUGGGUUGUAAACUUCUUUUAUGUGGGACGAAAAAGGGCCAUUUUUGGUCAACUGACGGUACCAUAGGAAUAAGCGCCGGCUAACUCCGUGCCAGCCGCCGCAGUAA